UCGUGCUGGGCGCGGCCGGGAUCGCGCUCGGCCUGCUGCGCCGGGCGCGGCGGCGACGCGCCCGGAUCGCCGCCGGGGAGCCCGAGCC
rnacentral:tRNA from 1 species